CAAUAGCGUAUAUUUAAGUUGUUGCAGUUAAAAAGCUCGUAGUUGGAUUUCGGUUGAGAACGGCCGGUCCGCCGUUUGGUGUGCACUGGCUGGUUUCAACUUCCUGUAGAGGACGCGCUCUGGCUUCACGGCUGGACGCGGAGUCUACGUGGUUACUUUGAAAAAAUUAGAGUGUUCAAAGCGGGCUUACGCUUGAAUAUUUCAGCAUGGAAUAACACUAUGGGACUCCUGUCCUAUUUCGUUGGUCUCGGGACGGGAGUAAUGAUUAAGAGGAACAGUUGGGGGCAUUCGUAUUUCAUUGUCAGAGGUGAAAUUCUUGGAUUUAUGAAAGACGAACUUCUGCGAAAGCAUUUGCCAAGGAUGUUUUCAUUAA
rnacentral:rRNA from 1 species